UGAGGAAUAUUGGGCAAUGCCCGCAAGGGUGACCCAGCAACGCCGCGUGGAGGAUGAAUGUCGUAAGAUUGUAAACUCCUGUUAGAGGGGAAGAGUAGUACCGGUUGGACCGGUAUAUGACUGUACCCUCAGAGAAAGCCCCGGCUAACUACGUGCCAGCAGCCGCGGUAAUACGUAGGGGGCAAGCGUUGUCCGGAUUUACUGGGGGUAAAGGGCGCGCAGGCGGGAUAAAAAGUCAGUGGUGAAAUCCUACAGCUUAACUGUAGAACUGCCUUUGAUACUUUUAUUCUUGAGUUCGGGAGAGAGAGACGGAAUUCCAGGUGUAGUGGUGAAAUACGUAGAUAUCUGGAAGAACACCAGUUGCGAAGGCGGUCUCUUGGUCCGACACUGACUCUGAGGCGCGAAAGCGUGGGGAGCAAACA
rnacentral:rRNA from 1 species